AGUCACAGAUUUUAAAUCAGUUCUUUGGCCUUUAACGGGCGCAACAGAAGCCCAGUAUGAGCGCGCAGAACAAAGAGGGCAGCAGUGGCCUCCACCAAUUAACAUUCCUGCGGCCUUUAUGAGCCGCCGGGCCCCGCCCCCUCCUCUCGCACCUCGUAAAAGUCACAAACAUCAAUUCUUGCAAACCAUAACUGUCAUUAUAAUCCCAUUAAAAACAACCCACCGAGCAGUUUACAGUGAACACCGGGGCCAAGUGCGCCGGCGGAGUCGCGGGCGGGAUGGCGGCCGCUGCAAGUGGACCGGAACCAGCAGCUAGGUUUAUUGAAAAGUCAUUUGACAAAACGCGGCGGGACGGUGGUUCACUAUCGGAGAGCGUGCGCUUCGUUCACGUUGCUGAUUCGGAGCGUGGCGGCAUGCGCUGCUGCACCUCGGCCAUGUGCGCUGUCAAUCUGGAGAUGAGUGAAGCUGCUGAAGUCAUAUUGAUCCGGCGAGUGCACGUCACCGGUGAGAAACACACCAUCACUUGCGUCUUUCCUCCGCUUGUCUUGUCCCUGACAGUGAUCAUGAAUGACCAAGUGGAGUCCUGCGCUGUGUAUUAUUUGACACGGUUCCGUUUGACCCCAAGUAACCAGGAACUUGUCUGGCUGGUGCGAGUGUUUUACGCAGAGUGUGGCGCUCUCUAGUGUACGUGCUGUGUCUCACCGCCUGUUCUGUUGCUGCAUUAAGUUGGAUUUUAAAACGUCUACAUCAUUUCACAGUAAUUUUUUGCCUAUUUUGUGUCUGAUAAACUCUUUGUUUUGAAGUGCAUUUAUUAUCGACCUGUUGAGUUGGUAUCUGAAAACAAACAGGCAGAGUCUUACUUUCAUUUCAGUGCAGUGGUUUAUUUAAUCAAAAGGACAAAAGCAUGUUUUAUUGAUCCAAAAAUAGCCAGAUCACGACGGUGCAUUCAAAGGCUUUCUCCAUUUUGACUCUGCUAUUGAUGCGAUUGAAGGCGAGGAAGAAGAUCAGAUAAGAGGGUGUUUGCAUGUCCGUUUCCCAUCAAGCCGAAGUGGAUUUUUCUUGAAAGGUCAUAGGUCACAGAUGAGUUCCUGAAGUAGUCGACGAGACGAUGAAGCGGCUCAUGUGUUUUUGGCGUUGACCAUGACAACUUGAAUGUUUCUUCUCUUCAUCUCUCUGGACAUCUGGCACCAGGAGCAGACCGUGCAGAAGCCGGCGCACAAGCAGUCCCGGCACAUGGUGCCCUGAAACACAGGAGGUUCCACAGAGGCGCAGGUCAGAAGCGGCGCAGGGGAGGAGAACAUCUGAUGGGUCUAGAACAAAGAGAACACGUGGGUACGCAGAACCCCCACCCCACCCCCAUCAACCCCCCGAUCUGAGGGAGGACUUCCUUCUAUAAAGAGCUGAAGAUGAACAGCAGAGGGAGAGAGAGAGAGGGAGCCGUGGAGGAGGAAGGACCACUCACAGAUGAUCUGACAUGGAGCUGGGAAACAGACAACCGCCUUGCUCCCUCAAACAGAGCCACACAGAUCCGGACCCGUUCCUCACGGCGGCCCGGCUCCUCAGGGGCGGAUGGACGAAACACAGUUCCGGCCCGAGCCCUGCUGGGGACAGGAGCAGGGACAGAAUCCAGCCGCCACAGCGGGUUGAAGUCCAGUUGAGUGACCUGGGGUCCAGCAGGGGGGUCCCCAGGAGGACUGUCCAGACCAAACAGCAGCCCAGUGAUGCCGCUGGUGUUGUGAUAGUCUGGACUUCCGGGUGUCGGUCCGCCUGCCGGAACAGGCGCCGGCUGAAAGCGCCGCUUCUGCCCACCAUCGCUGAGAUGUAGAGGACCAAACGCUGACUCAGCACAAUUCUGUGUCCAACUGGACCCGUGACCUCAGUAGGCUUUUGACUUCAUCACCAUUUAUAUUCAUUCUUUGUUUUGCAACAAUGUCCUUUUUGUCAAUCACUUUUUCUUUUAUUUUAUCUUACAUUUUUGCUUUUUAAUUAGGAAUUCAUUUGAUUGAACAUCACUGAACCAUACAUGUUUUAUUCCAGCCUCAUUUCAUUCCAGUUUAUUCACUUCUGUGUUUUUGUGUCCAAAUAA